GAGUCCAAAGCCACUUGUAUGGUGUUCUGGCCGGAAAUUCUUCCACAACGCCACCCAGGAUGGAGAAUAAGAUGACCGAGAGGAUACUGGACCUCACCCUGGAGAUCAUCUGCCUGCUGACCGGAGAGGAUUUCCUUCCUCUGAAGGCCGGUGACCGAGUGACCAUCACAAUGCCGCUACCGAACACCCUGAUACGCAAGGGAAUCAAUGACCAGAAGAUCCUAGAGGCCACCAAGAAGAUGAUGGAGCUGCUGACGGGAGAGGUUCCUAUAAGGUGUCAGGAUGUC